AGACCUCUCUUCCCCCAGGCCUCCUCCUCCUCUCCGCCCCCUCCGGGCUCGGCUCUCCCAGGAGGCUACGACUCCGGGUGGAGCCACUGGUCCCGCAGGGAUCCCCGCGUCCUCGGUCGCCGCGUCCACGUCCCUCUCUCGUCCCCGCCCGGCCCCACGCCGCCUCCUCUGGGUUCGGCCUCCGCGCGGUGCAGCGCAGUCUCAGGCCGCGGGACAAGCCCGACUUAAAUCUCUGCAAUGGCUAACGAAGCUUAUCCUUGUCCGUGUGACAUCGGCCACAGACUUGAGUAUGGAGGGCUAGGCCGUGAAGUUCAAGUCGAGCACAUCAAGGCUUAUGUCACCAAAUCCCCCGUUGAUGCAGGCAAAGCUGUGAUUGUCAUUCAAGAUAUAUUUGGCUGGCAGUUGCCCAAUACCAGAUAUAUGGCUGACAUGAUCUCAGGAAAUGGAUACACGUAUGUAUAAAGUUGUGUUUCUUUGUUUAAAUUCGUAUAAAUUUCAGUGGCUUAUUUUGUUCCCUUUAAAAAAUAAAACCACACCGGUCUGACUCUACAGUAUCUACUGUACGUUAGAAACUUAUCUCACUGCGGUGAAG
rnacentral:sRNA from 1 species